GGACCCGCACAAGUAGUGGAGCAUGUGGUUUAAUUCGAAGAUACGCGCAGAACCUUACCAACACUUGACAUGUUCGUCGCGACUCUAAGAGAUUAGAGUUUUCGGUUCGGCCGGACGAAACACAGGUGCUGCAUGGCUGUCGUCAGCUCGUGUCGUGAGAUGUUGGGUUAAGUCCCGCAACGAGCGCAACCCUCACUUUUAGUUGCCAUCAUUAAGUUGGGCACUCUGAAAGAACUGCCAGUGAUAAGCUGGAGGAAGGUGGGGAUGACGUCAAGUCCUCAUGGCCCUUACGUGUUGGGCUACACACGUGCUACAAUGCUACGGACAAAGGGCAGCAAGUUCGCGAGGAC
rnacentral:rRNA from 1 species